rnacentral:ncRNA from 14 species
GGGAAAUAGCUCAGCGGUAGAGCGAGUGUUUUGCACGCACUAGGUCUUGGGUUCGAAUCCUAAUUUUUCC